GCAGUGGAGGCUCUGUGGUAGAAUUCCCGCCUUCCAUGUGGGAGACCCGGGUUCGAUUCCCAGCCAGUGUA
rnacentral:tRNA from 1 species